rnacentral:piRNA from 1 species
UGCCAACAUUAAGCCAUUGUCUAGAGCAAGA